GACGAACGCUGGCGGCGUGCUUAACACAUGCAAGUCGAGCGGAAAGGCCCUUCAGGGUACUCGAGCGGCGAACGGGUGAGUAACACGUGAGUAAUCUGCCCUUGGCUUUGGGAUAACUACCGGAAACGGUGGCUAAUACCGGAUACGACAACCGUCUGCAUGGGCUGGUUGUGGAAAGUUUUUUCGGCCAGGGAUGUGCUCGCGGCCUAUCAGCUUGUUGGUGGGGUAAUGGCCUACCAAGGCUUCGACGGGUAGCCGGCCUGAGAGGGUGACCGGCCACACUGGGACUGAGACACGGCCCAGACUCCUACGGGAGGCAGCAGUGGGGAAUAUUGGACAAUGGGCGGAAGCCUGAUCCAGCAACGCCGCGUGAGGGAUGACGGCCUUCGGGUUGUAAACCUCUUUCAGUACCGACGAAGCGCCGAUGAUGGUGGUGACGGUAGGUACAGAAGAAGCACCGGCCAACUACGUG
rnacentral:rRNA from 1 species